rfam:Mycobacterium leprae Br4923, complete genome sequence
UUGCCGGUGUAAGUCCGGUCUGGGUAGUCGUCAGGAGGCCUGGUAGCAGACUGGUGACUUGGUCUGGAAAAGGACCGGGUCGAAGCCCCGUGUCGAAAGCCUUUUACUAGGGGGACUGAGUGGUCAGUAGCAUGA